rnacentral:lncRNA from 1 species
UCACGUGCACUCAGUAUGCAUGUCGAUUGUACGGAUAGCUAAGGCUAAUAACAUUGGAAAAAGAAAAGAGUCGGUAAAAUAGAAGAAAGCAAUGCUGCAUUUGCCUAAAAAUAUGGAAGAAGAUUUCAUUAACUAUAAUCAAAAGAAAAAAGAAAAUCCUGGGAAUGCAAGACAUAAGCUCAUCAUAUUAUGGCAGACAUAUUCACAGUCUCGGUUUCUCUUGUUAUAAUAUGCAUGGCUGCCUACUCAAUUCGAAAACAGAACACCUUAGCUCAAAAAGAACCUUCAUAUAAUUUACAUUUCUAACUAAGGAAGUUUCAGCUGUUUGAAACAGAAUUGCUUGUUAAACCUAGAGGCGGAUCAAUGAUUUUAAGAUUAUGGGAGCA